AUGUGUCUUACCAAUUUGAUGUUGGUUCACAUGCAGGUUCAGAUGACGCUUGUCAUGGACACUCGGGCUGUGGCAAAACCACCCUUUUGCUGGCACUUGUUGGAAAGCUCAACAAAGAUCUCAAGAUCUGAAAUUUCACGCAGAGAACAUUGUGUGCGGCGUAUUUCACUACUUUCUUCGUUCACAAAAAUACUGUUACCACUGAGGCUCUAUGAUCAUAGAAGAGUCAGGGGAAGAGGGAGGUACCUUGGUCAAUUGCCCAGGUGCAUUGGUGAUGGCUGCGUCGCAAUCUGGGCCGGGCAGGACGCUAGAAACUGUUGA
rnacentral:rRNA from 1 species